GGUACUGCGGAGGAAAUAUGUGGGGAACUUAUUACAGAUACAGAUUCCAGGCCCUGGGGCAGAGGACUCAAGUCUUGCUAUGUUUCCAGGCUGGUGUUAAACUCCUGGGCUCAAAAGAUCCUCCCACCUCAGCCUCCCAAAGUGCUGGGAUUACAGGUAUGAGCCACUGCACCUGGCCUGCCAUAGUCUAGAAGGCUAGAAACAAGUCACAGGUUCUGCUGACACUCCAGAAGAUAAGAUUACAUAGGGCAUAAACACCAGGUGGUGGGGAUUACUGGAGGUCACUUUAGCAUCUGUUGGCCACAAGGGCUAGAAUAGUAAGGAUGUUUGCAAGGGAGUGAUUACAAUGAUGAAUAAUGAAAUCUAAGCUGAGUGUAUUAGUUUUGUAUUGCCACAUAACCAAUUACUACAAAUUUAACAGCUGUAAAAAAACACAUAUUGUCUCCCAGUUUCCAUGGGUUAGAAAUCCAGGCACAGCUUAACUAGAUUCUCUGCUCAGGGUCACACAGGCUGCAAUCAGGAUGUUGUCCAGGACCACAGCGUCAUAUGAGGUUUAGGUCCUCUUUCAAACUUACAUGGUUGUUGGCAGAAUUUAAUUCUUUGUGGUUGUAGAACUAAGGCCCUCAGACCCUAGGGGCUGCCUACCAUGUGGCCAUCUCCAUAGGUAGUACACAAUAGCAUAGCAGCUUCUUGCUUCUUCAAGGCCAUCAGUUUGAGUUCUUUGCAUGCUAGCAAGAUGGAGCCAUAGCUAUAUCUAGAGAGAGACAGAGAGAGAGGUAGGGGCAGGGCAAAUCAGAGGAGUGAAAUCCUAUCAUCCUGGCCAUAUUCUAUCGGUUAGAAGCAAGUCACAAUGACCACCCCCUUCAAGGGAAGGGGGAUUAUACAGGGCAUAAUAAUGGGGUAGAGAUACUAUGGGGGUCAUCAGAUAAUUCUGCCUACCAUGCUGGGUAAGGAGAGAAGUGAGGACAUGAGGGGACUGAGGGGCAGUUAGUUAAAAGGUGGUGGGACCUGCCGGGUGCGGUGGCUCACGCCUGUAAUCACAGCACUUUGGGAGGCUGAGGCAGGCAGAUCACGAGGUCAAGAGAUCGAGACCAUCCUGGCCAACAUGGCAAAACCCCAUCUCUACUAAAAAUACAAAAAUAAAAAAUAGCCAGGUGUGGUGUUGCAUGCCUGUAGUCCCAGCUACUCUGGAGGCUGAGGCAAGAGAAUCGCUUGAACCCGGGAGGCAGAGGUUGCAGUGAGCUGAGAUGGCGCCAUUGCACUCCAGCCUGGGAGACAGGGCAAGACUCUGUCUCAAACAAACAAACAAACAAAAGGUGGUGGGACCAAAGAAUCAGAGGUUGAGGUGAGGUUGAAGAAUUUUUACAUGGGAGAACAAAUUAGAGAAAUGAGCCUCUUCCUCCAGAGAUAGACACAGAUUUACAAAGAGGCAGCCAGCUUGUUGAGUGGAUCAUCAUAGGUUAGAUUUCAGCCCAGACCCUACUCAUUCUCUGGACUGGGCGUGCUUGUGCAAUGCAUAAACUGUACAGCCAUACACAGCAGCCAAGGCAGCAUAUAUAGGGGAAAUGACCACUAUGUGGUCAGCCUCAGCUCUCUCAUCUCCCAGCUAGACAACCUAAGGCCAGCUAUCCCCCGU
rnacentral:lncRNA from 1 species